UACGGGGGGAGCAAGCGUUGUUUGGAUUUACUGGGCGUAAAGGGCGCGUAGGCGGUCGUGACAAGUCACUUGUGAAAUCUCCGGGCUUAACUCGGAACGGUCAAGUGAUACUGUCGGACUAGAGUACAGAAGGGGCAACUGGAAUUCUCGGUGUAGCGGUGAAAUGCGUAGAUAUCGAGAGGAACACCUGCGGCGAAGGCGGGUUGCUGGGCUGAUACUGACGCUGAGGCGCGAAAGCCAGGGGAGCGAACGGG
rnacentral:rRNA from 1 species